rnacentral:lncRNA from 1 species
GUUGUUAGUGGAAUAAAUAGUUAAGAAUUCAAAAGGUCAUAACCUUUGGAAUCCGCUGGCCGAUGGAUCAUCUUUUUAGUAGGAUAAAUAGUUUGAGGAAAGAGAGACCGAGAGCCAAAUUGAGAGUCAUAAGCCGAGAGUUAGAUUGUGAGAGUCGUAAGCCAGAGUAAGCUUGGUGCUACCUCUUUGUUUUCUUUGCUUUUAUUAUUUAUUUAUAAAGAAUUGUGAUUGAGAGAAGUAGUGUUGAAUUGAUAGUCGUAGAAUAGAUUAUAUGUUGAAUCAAGAUGGAAGUAGUAAGCCUUGGUAUUUUAUAGUUUGAUAAUUGAUUUCAAAUACCCAGAGUACAGUCAAUUGUGACACUA